UUGUAUGGUUAAGUGACUAAGCGUACACGGUGGAUGCCUGGGCAGUCAGAGGCGAUGAAGGACGUACUAACUUGCGAUAAGCGCAGAUGAGGCAGUAAGAGCCGUUUGAGUCUGCGAUUUCCGAAUGGGGAAACCCAACUGCAUAAGCAGUUACUGUUAACUGAAUACAUAGGUUAACAGAGCAAACCGGGGGAACUGAAACAUCUAAGUACCCCGAGGAGAAGAAAUCAACCGAGAUUCCGGUAGUAGCGGCGAGCGAACCUGGAUUAGCCCUUAAGCACUCGGUGAAGUAGGUGAACAAGCUGGAAAGCUUGGCGAUACAGGGUGAUAGCCCCGUAACCGACGCUUCAUCGAGCGUGAAAUCGAGUAGGGCGGGACACGUGAUAUCCUGUCUGAAUAUGGGGGGACCAUCCUCCAAGGCUAAAUACUCCUGACUGACCGAUAGUGAACCAGUACCGUGAGGGAAAGGCGAAAAGAACCCCUGUGAGGGGAGUGAAAUAGAACCUGAAACCGUGUACGUACAAGCAGUAGGAGCACCUUCGUGGUGUGACUGCGUACCUUUUGUAUAAUGGG
rnacentral:rRNA from 1 species